GACGAACGCUGGCGGCGUGCUUAACACAUGCAAGUCGAACGCUGAAGCUCAGCUUUUGUUGGGUGGAUGAGUGGCGAACGGGUGAGUAACACGUGAGUAACCUGCCCCCUUCUUUGGGAUAACGCCCGGAAACGGGUGCUAAUACUGGAUAUUCACUGGUCCUCGCAUGGGGGUUGGUGGAAAGGGUUUUUCUGGUGGGGGAUGGGCUCGCGGCCUAUCAGCUGGUUGGUGGGGUGACGGCCUACCAAGGCUUUGACGGGUAGCCGGCCUGAGAGGGUGACCGAUCAGAGUGGGACAGAGGUACGGCCCAGACUCCGACGGGAGGCAGCAGUGGGGAAGAUUGCGCAAUGGGGGAAAGCGUAAUGCAGCGACGACGCGUGAGGAAUGAAGGCCUUCGGGUUGUGAACCUCUUUGGCUCAUGGUCAAGCCGCAACAAUGGUUGUGGUGACGGUAGUGGGUAAAGAAGCGCCGGCUAACUACGUG
rnacentral:rRNA from 1 species